UCCCGGUGUAGCGGUGAAAUGCGUAGAGAUCGGGAGGAAUACCAGUGGCGAAGGCGGCCUUCUGGACUGACACUGACACUGAGGUGCGAAAGCGUGGGUAGCAAACAGGAUUAGAUACCCUGGUAGUCCACGCCGUAAACGAUGUCGACCAGCCGUUGGGUGCCUAGCGCACUUUGUGGCGAAGUUAACGCGAUAAGUCGACCGCCUGGGGAGUACGGCCGCAAGGUUAAAACUCAAAUGAAUUGACGGGGGCCCGCACAAGCGGUGGAGCAUGUGGUUUAAUUCGAUGCAACGCGAAGAACCUUACCUACUCUUGACAUCCUGCGAAUUUGUGAGAGAUCACUUAGUGCCUUCGGGAACGCAGAGACAGGUGCUGCAUGGCUGUCGUCAGCUCGUGUUGUGAAAUGUUGGGUUAAGUCCCGUAACGAGCGCAACCCUUGUCCUUAUUUGCCAGCGCGUAAAGGCGGGAACUCUAAGGAGACUGCCGGUGACAAACCGGAGGAAGGUGGGGACGACGUCAAGUCAUCAUGGCCCUUACGAGUAGGGCUACACACGUGCUACAAUGGUCGGUACAAAGGGUUGCCAACUCGCGAGAGUGAGCCAAUCCCGAAAAGCCGAUCUCAGUCCGGAUCGGAGUCUGCAACUCGACUCCGUGAAGUCGGAAUCGCUAGUAAUCGUGGAUCAGAAUGCCACGGUGAAUACGUUCCCGGGCCUUGUACACACCGCCCGUCACACCAUGGGAGUGGACUGCACCAGAAGUGGUUAGCCUAACGCAAGAGG
rnacentral:rRNA from 1 species